rnacentral:lncRNA from 1 species
GGAUCUACAGUGAUCAUCUGUCCCGACGUCUGGCCUACAUUACCCAGAGAAUUUCAUUCUGAUGUUACUCUGUCAGGCCCAUCAAUUUCAUGAUAAGGUAGAAUUUAGCUUUUAUUAGUGUAGGAGUCACAAAAUCUAUUUCCCUCUUCGGUGAUGGCUUGCUGGUGUUUGUGCAAUAUAUGUUACAUUGGAGAUGAAAUUGUGUCAGAGCUGGGUGUAUUCCACCAGAGUGAGGCAGAAUGAUGGUGAACAAUACUGAAAGACAGUGAUGUAGCUGAACCAUGUUCUCUAAGAUAGGAUGAGUUUUGUUUACACCAUUCUAGGGAGUUAUUUGUCUAAACUGGCCCUUAGAACUGCAUAGUGUUCAAGAAAUGUUUAGACAUUGUUCUGAGGGACAUGGUUUAGUAAGGAAAUGUUGGCAGUGAUUGAAUGGUUAGGCUAGCUGAUCUUGGAGGUCUGUUCCAACCUUGGUGAUUCUAUGAUUAAUAUUGCUACACUGCUUAAGGUUUCCGAUGGCAUUUGAUGUCCUGUUCCACAAAACAGAAAGUAGAUAUGUGCUAAGAGCUUGUUUCCAAAUAACUUUAGGAUCCGGAGGGACUGAACAGGCAACCAAAAGUAAGUGGCAGAAUCUUCAUUUUACAAAUGGAAGACUGAUUCUUGAAGGAAAUGAAUAUCUUCUUCAGAACUCAGAAUCAGGAGUGGGACUUCUGUGGCUUUGCAACCUAGUCCUGUCGAACUGCCCUUCCUCCUGAGAUGAGGAAUGCUCAAGGUUGAAGAUCAAAGUCCAGGAGUCCCAAGAGUCACACCUUGUGUCUGUGGGAGCUUGGAAGGUGUGGAUUUCAAGAGCAGUGGAUGGCAGUGGUUCCUCACAGAGCCCUGCUGCAGGAUGGAGCAAUGGGUAAUAAGUGUGCAUCUGACUGAUGUUGCUUGUGGUCAUAGGAGACUGUUUCUUGGGAGGUUGAGGUUGGAUAUUAGGAAACAUUUCUCCUCGAGAAGGGCAGUGAUGCCCUGGCACAGGCUGCCCAGGGAGUGGAGGGUGUCACCAUCCUUGAAGAUGAUGGUCCAAGAACCAUGGAGAUAUGGCAUUGAGGGACAUGGUCAGAGGGUAGGGUGGGGGGUGGUUAUAGUUCUGUCUCCUGUUGCCACACAGACUAAGAAUCAUAGAAUUAUUAAGGUUGGAAGAGAUCACUCGGAUCAUCUGUUCCAACCUUCAGUCCAUCACCACCAUGCCCACUAACCACAUCACUUGAACGUCUUCCCCAUCUGCAAGGUUAACCAACAUAACUGUGGGCUCUGGUCCUAGUGGUUGGCAACCCUAGGAAACAAGAUGAUCUUAGAGGUCCUUUUCAACCUAGGCCAUUCUAUGAUUCUAUUAAUCAUGCUAAGAUGGUGUGCAACAUGGUGGCUCCUCAAACACUGGCUGAACCACUGCAUGUCUCUAGGAGACCUCUCUGGUUCAGCUUUGCUAAGCCCUGACCCGGCAGAGUGCUUAGAGCAGAGUUUGAAGCCUAUUAUGUGCACUGCCAUCCCUUGUGUCCUUAGGUUUUCUCACAUCUGGAACUCAUCACAGGAGAUGCACCCUGGCCACCUCUCAGCACCAAGACACCCCAGGGCAGGGGUGGCUCAUGAUUUGGGGCUCAGCAGAUGGGAAGGAAACACCCUGAAGGAACCAUGCAAUCACUGCACCUGCAUUGACAGCACAAGAGAUGUGUGUGUGAGGAAUGGGGACAGACUGACAGUGGCAGAACAGUAAGCUAUUUGGAGCAUCUGAGAACACAAUGCAAGACAAAAAGGACAGUGAAAAUUCUGAAACAGCACUUGAGUGGGGUUUUUUUUGUGUGUGAUUUUUGUUCUGCUUCUCUUUGAUGUAUCACCUUUCUUAUUGAUUUUCUUUUCUUUGCGCUGAAAAUAUGCAUUAUCUUCCAGUCCCUCUUCAGUGAAGUAAAUCUAAAAUGAAAACAAACCACGCAUUUGGCCAACCCUGCCUUAAAAUUACACAUCAAGAAUGUUUCCAGUGACAAAUACUUUCAAGGCAAACAAACUGAAGAGAAAUUAAAAAAUCUCUGUGGGGCAUAAAUAUGUAAUUACACUCACACAGGGAGCAUUUUAUCAGGUAAACCAUCCUACUUUGUUAAUUGAAAUGCUGCAGCACAAGGUUUUUUGACAAAGGGGCUGAAUAUGUAUGUGUAUUUCUCGCUGCUGCUGUUCCAUUUCUCUCUCCCCUUUCCCUCUGUGCUCCUGCAAUGGGGUAAUGAUCACUCCUGGUUUCUUUGUUUGAAUACUCUCACUUCUACUACCUCCACUUUAUCCUGGCAGGGAAAGUUUUCCUUUCACUGGAGGCACAGGUAUGUGGUUUAGGUGUUUUGUUGUUUUUUUUUUUAAUGUUGCUGUUGGUUUAAAACAAAACAAAACCCAGAAAACAAGUCUUUUUCUUAAAUAAAGGAAGGAUAGAGUGGCA